rnacentral:rRNA from 1 species
GACGAACGCUGGCGGCGUGCUUAACACAUGCAAGUCGAACGGAAAGGCCCUGCUUUUGUGGGGUGCUCGAGUGGCGAACGGGUGAGUAACACGUGAGUAACCUGCCCUUGACUUUGGGAUAACUUCAGGAAACUGGGGCUAAUACCGGAUAGGAGCUCCUGCUGCAUGGUGGGGGUUGGAAAGUUUCGGCGGUUGGGGAUGGACUCGCGGCUUAUCAGCUUGUUGGUGGGGUAGUGGCUUACCAAGGCUUUGACGGGUAGCCGGCCUGAGAGGGUGACCGGCAACAUUGGGACUGAGAGACGGCCGAGCCUCCGCGGGGGGGAAGAGGGGGGGAUGUUUGACAAAUGGGCGGAAGCCGGAGGCAGCACCCCCGGGGGCGGGAUGACGGCUUUCGGUUUGUAAACCUCUUUCCCUGGUGAGGAGGGGUGGGUGAGGGUAAGGGGUAAAGAAGCCCCGGCUAACUAGGUC